rnacentral:rRNA from 1 species
GAUGAACGCUGGCGGCGUGCCUAAUACAUGCAAGUCGAGCGAACGGACGAGAAGCUUGCUUCUCUGAUGUUAGCGGCGGACGGGUGAGUAACACGUGGAUAACCUACCUAUAAGACUGGGAUAACUUCGGGAAACCGUAGCUAAUACCGGAUAAUAUUUUGAACCGCAUGGUUCAAAAGUGAAAGACGGUCUUGCUGUCACUUAUAGAUGGAUCCGCGCUGCAUUAGCUAGUUGGUAAGGUAACGGCUUACCAAGGCAACGAUGCAUAGCCGACCUGAGAGGGUGAUCGGCCACACUGGAACUGAGACACGGUCCAGACUCCUACGGGAGGCAGCAGUAGGGAAUCUUCCGCAAUGGGCGAAAGCCUGACGGAGCAACGCCGCGUGAGUGAUGAAGGUCUUCGGAUCGUAAAACUCUGUUAUUAGGGAAGAACAUAUGUGUAAGUAACUGUGCACAUCUUGACGGUACCUAAUCAGAAAGCCACGGCUAACUACGUGCCAGCAGCCGCGGUAAUACGUAGGUGGCAAGCGUUAUCCGGAAUUAUUGGGCGUAAAGCGCGCGUAGGCGGUUUUUUAAGUCUGAUGUGAAAGCCCACGGCUCAACCGUGGAGGGUCAUUGGAAACUGGAAAACUUGAGUGCAGAAGAGGAAAGUGGAAUUCCAUGUGUAGCGGUGAAAUGCGCAGAGAUAUGGAGGAACACCAGUGGCGAAGGCGACUUUCUGGUCUGUAACUGACGCUGAUGUGCGAAAGCGUGGGGAUCAAACAGGAUUAGAUACCCUGGUAGUCCACGCCGUAAACGAUGAGUGCUAAGUGUUAGGGGGUUUCCGCCCCUUAGUGCUGCAGCUAACGCAUUAAGCACUCCGCCUGGGGAGUACGACCGCAAGGUUGAAACUCAAAGGAAUUGACGGGGACCCGCACAAGCGGUGGAGCAUGUGGUUUAAUUCGAAGCAACGCGAAGAACCUUACCAAAUCUUGACAUCCUUUGACAACUCUAGAGAUAGAGCCUUCCCCUUCGGGGGACAAAGUGACAGGUGGUGCAUGGUUGACGUCAGCUCGUGUCGUGAGAUGUUGGGUUAAGUCCCGCAACGAGCGCAACCCUUAAGCUUAGUUGCCAUCAUUAAGUUGGGCACUCUAAGUUGACUGCCGGUGACAAACCGGAGGAAGGUGGGGAUGACGUCAAAUCAUCAUGCCCCUUAUGAUUUGGGCUACACACGUGCUACAAUGGACAAUACAAAGGGCAGCGAAACCGCGAGGUCAAGCAAAUCCCAUAAAGUUGUUCUCAGUUCGGAUUGUAGUCUGCAACUCGACUACAUGAAGCUGGAAUCGCUAGUAAUCGUAGAUCAGCAUGCUACGGUGAAUACGUUCCCGGGUCU